GGCCACAGCCAUAUCACACUGCAGCCCGAGACCGUUUACUCACUGAAGCUAAGCAGGGCUGAGCCUGGUCAGUACCUGGAUGGGUGGCCACAAUGGAAAACUAGGUUGCUGUUGGAA
rnacentral:rRNA from 1 species